AGCGCAGUCGAGUGCGGACGGACAGACGGAGCGCGAUGUGUGCGUGAGUGUAUGCGUGAGUGUAUGCCGCGGGCUCGAAAUCGGAGCACAGCACGUGGUCGAACGCCAGGGACGACGUAGCGUAAGAGGAAUCGGGAAAUCGGAAAGUAAUCGACAACGAAAAUUGGAAAUGAUAAAAUCCGAUUGCCAUUUAAUAAAUCCUCGUAAGAUUGCAGAUUACACGAAGAGAAAUAUUCAGUCAAAUUAAGAAGGAUAAUUAGAUUUCAUAAGAUUUUUCGAUUUAUUUUAUUUGCUUUUGUUUUUUUCUUCUAACACUUCUAAACCCGAAAUAUUUUAUAUCGCGCAUCUUGAUAUUUACGGAACUGUGACAGUUGAGGAUUUAAAGAAUUAAAGGGAUGAUUGAGACUUUAACGAAUUAAAUAGCAGCUGAUCGCGUAACUUUCGAAUCAAAACGACCGAAGCGCGGUCCUAAAAUUUUUCUUUUCCGUCAACAUCAUUCGUCUAUCCCCGUCCUGGUCAGCGAUAUGCGCCGCGUCCAUAAAUAUUCUCAAAUCUGUGACGGCGGCUGGUAUUAUUUAUAGCCGCGAGUGGCCAUGUCGCGAGAGAACCACCUCGCCUGACGAUCCCGCCCUACCCCUUGAGUAAGUCGAUCGUCCGUGAGAGUCGGGCGUUCCUUCGGUCGUGUCGUCUGCAAUGUGCCCAGGCCGAGGCGUUCGGCCGCUGGAAAAUGAUCGAGAGCCGUAGGUGUCUAUCGAUCAUCGAGUAGUGCUGAAACUGCCCUGCUGCCGCCGGAGGGAAAUCGACGCGCGCGAUCGUGAUCGCCGUCGGAGAUCAACGGAAAUGCGUCGCCCCUGCUGACGAGCGCGUCGCGCUGACAUCCGCCGCCCCGUCUCACGCGACAACAAAGGACGUGUUCCUCGCGUCCUGCCCCGAGCCCCGAGCGCGACAGUUGAAUCCAAGUCCACGAGGGUGGAUGCGGCGAAUCCGUCCGUUCGUCGGAGACUUCGAAAUUUCGAGAGAUCUAUGAGAGAGGGAUUCGCGCCGAUCGAGCCGCGUAACUGUAAGGUUAUGCAGCGAAGUUGCUGGAGAAUAAAGACGUCAAGAUACUCUAUGCACUAGCUAAUACUUGAUGCGAACGAGAGAAAGAGAGAGAGAACGAGAGAGAGAGAGAGAGAGAGAGAGAAAGCGAAUGAGAAAGAGAAACGAGAGGAGAGAAGGAGAAAUCAGAUAAUACGCUAGGACGCAUAAUGUUUCGAUACGUGAUUCGGCAAACUUCGAAAGACUGAAGUGCGAGAUCCCCAGAUCAGCUGAUCAGAGGUUUGACUAGGCUUGAAUGAAUGUUUUUGGAGUAGAUACAUUGAGGAUAGUUGCCAAACGAGACACCGUCCGCGCGUGUUAAUACACGUAAUAAGAUAAACGUUAAGUUACCGCAAGGAGAAUAAACAAAUAGGUUAACUCAAGUUAAAAAAAAAAUGUCGGUGAGCAACUCGACGUCGUUGAGUACCAGCAGGGGCGGCAGUAGCCUUCAGAAUCGAAACUCGCAGAGAUCCACCCUUCUGAAAGUGGUGAUCCUCGGGGACGGUGGUGUUGGUAAGUCCUGCCUCAUGAACAGAUUCGUGUCGAAUCACUUCGACGAGCACAGCUUCCACACGAUCGGGGUGGAGUUUCUUAACAAGGACAUCGAGAUCAACGGCGAGGCGUACACGCUGCAGAUAUGGGACACCGCUGGCCAAGAGAGGUUCAAGACCCUCAGAACGCCGUUCUACCGAGGUUCGGACAUUUGCCUGCUCACCUACGCGGUAGACGAUAGGACAAGUUUCAGGAAUCUGGCGCUAUGGAGGUCCGAAUUUCUCAAAUACGCGGACGUUCAGGAGGGCUCUACUUUUCCGUUCAUCGUUGUUGGCAAUAAGGUAGACGUUCCCGAGUCCGAGAGGCAAGUUCCCAUGGAAGAGGCUCAAGCUUGGUGUUCGGAAAAUGGUAAUCCUCCAUUAGUUGAAACAUCGGCAAAAGACGCCACUAAUGUUGAGGCAGCUUUUGGGGCGGCGGUUGACGCAUGGGCGCGGCUGGAAGCUAGAUUAGAGCGGCCUUUAGUGGAAGAUACUGUCGAUCUCUCUAAACAACAGUCCCAGCAUCGUACGAGCUGCUGCAUGCCCGUUUCUGGCACCGAAUCCACAUUUGUGACCAGAUAAUCGAAAUGGGCGGUAAGAAGAUAGACAGCACACACAACACACAGUCUUUAUGUGAUGCAAAUUGACAUUUCUGGAAUAAUCGCUUAAAGUUUUCUUUAUGUUUGGAAGGGACACACAAAACGUCGCACUAUUGAAUUCGUAUAAAACGGUGCUUGUUCUAUUUCUAGGAUCUAUAAGGAUACACGUUAGAACUGUCUAACAAAAUAAUUUGAAGAGAAUCUCUCUUGCCUGUCUGCAAUACUCUCUUCAUUAUACGAUGAACUUUAUUUAUUGACACUGGAAUUGCAUCGGUUGUGUGUAAAUAGGCUAUACUGUUUGAAAUUUUUUACUUAAGACACCAGUUAAAAUAUUCAAAGAAUGUACGUGCGGAUCACAUAGAAUAUUAUUAGCAAUGAACGAACGCUUCUUUUACCAGCUUAUAUUCUCCUUUUUAUGAAUCUUAACGAAACACUCGAGUCACGGAGAUCGCAUAUAAGACAAAUAAUAUAUUGUGAUUGAUCUUUCCAAAAUACAACUUUAAAAUAUAAGAUCAGAUUAAACGUC
rnacentral:misc_RNA from 1 species